CACCUCUGACAGGUUCCAAAACCACAUCCACACUGCAGCAAAUAAGGUAACAAAUGUAAAUGCAAAGGGCCUCUUCUACCAUAAGCAUUAGAUUGUCUAUUCCACAAGGUAGAAAGGACAUGAAAAUGAGCCCUCCUGUCAAUGUCAGCUUGGCCCCCAUCUGUUGCAAACCCAGCAGUGGACACCAUGAGAGCUUUUGGGAAAGCCACCAACUGGCAGCAAUUGGGCUACUUCGAAACAGAACCAUGGAACCGCACCAUGCCUGCGCUUGCGUGCUAAGGGUCUGCUUAGCAAGCCAGCCAGAGCCAAGAGGCUAUGUGGAAACAAAUUCCCAAAAAACACAGGUUCCCAUGGAAAAGAAUGGAAAAAGGUCAGGGGAUUUGAGCUCACUUGGCUGCUGUUCCAGCCCUGGGCUGUGCCCGGCGUGGUCUUCCUGCACAGUGACUUCUUUUGACCUGGUUCUGAGACCUUGGCAGCCUGCUUUGUUGUGCUUAAGUUCGACCUUCCCUGACCCCUGUGUCAUUUUCGAUGUCACCAUGGAAAUUUCCAGACCUCCCUGGAGCUGGUUUCUGGCCAUGAGCAUCCACCCCAGAUGCAUGCAUACUCUCUUCCAGCUCUGUGGGAUCCAUCUCGCAGGAGGCUUCGUCCACCAGUCCUGGGGUUCUCUGCAUGCCAUGCCAAGUUAUGGAAACAGUGUCCGAGUCCUCGCUUGCUGCAGGAGAUGUGUUGCUCUCCUGCGUCUGUGUGAUCCCUGUGUCCCAAUCCUGAUCUUCACACCAGAGGAAACGAAGGCCGAGAGCAGGUGGACCCUUCCUUGUGGCCCAGAACCCGUCAGGCACGGUUGAGAUGGAGCCACAUCCAGGGCUGCUCUCAACACAGCUUCCGACGUGAUCAGUGCCACCAGCUUAGCGUGAAAACUGACCCUGGCCAGCCAGGACUUGACCCGUGCUAGUAGGCUGAAGGAUUUUUCCAUUUGUGACACAGUGGCAUGCUUUGGCUUUAGCCUGGGUUGGGAGCUCUGUCCACGCCUGUGAUGCAGACUCUAUUUAAGCUCCAACUUUCCCUUUCCUUCUGGGAACACAGCUAGUCAAUGUCCUUGGCUUAUUAACGGCAGCCUGGUCACUGAAUGGCGAAA